rnacentral:rRNA from 1 species
GAUGAACGCUGGCGGCGUGCCUAAUACAUGCAAGUCGAGCGAACAGAUGAGGAGCUUGCUCCUCUGACGUUAGCGGCGGACGGGUGAGUAACACGUGGAUAACCUACCUAUAAGACUGGGAUAACUUCGGGAAACCGGAGCUAAUACCGGAUAAUAUAUUGAACCGCAUGGUUCAAUAGUGAAAGACGGUUUUGCUGUCACUUAUAGAUGGAUCCGCGCCGCAUUAGCUAGUUGGUAAGGUAACGGCUUACCAAGGCAACGAUGCGUAGCCGACCUGAGAGGGUGAUCGGCCACACUGGAACUGAGACACGGUCCAGACUCCUACGGGAGGCAGCAGUAGGGAAUCUUCCGCAAUGGGCGAAAGCCUGACGGAGCAACGCCGCGUGAGUGAUGAAGGUCUUCGGAUCGUAAAACUCUGUUAUUAGGGAAGAACAAAUGUGUAAGUAACUAUGCACGUCUUGACGGUACCUAAUCAGAAAGCCACGGCAAACUACGUG